AAUAUUGCACAAUGGGGGAAACCCUGAUGCAGCAACGCCGCGUGAGCGAUGAAGGCCUUCGGGUCGUAAAGCUCUGUCCUAAGGGAAGAUAAUGAAGGUUCCUUAGGAGGAAGCCCCGGCUGACUACGUCCCAGCAGCCGCGGUAAUAAGUAGGGGGCAAGCGUUAUCCGGAAUCAUUGGGCGUAAAGGGUGCGUAGGCUGCCCUAUAGGUCAGAGGUCAAAGGCUACGGCUAAACCGUAGUAAGCCUUCGAAACUGUAGGGCUUGAGUGCAGGAGAGGAGAGUGGAAUUCCUAGUGUAGCGGUGAAAUGCGUAGAUAUUAGGAGGAACACCAGUGGCGAAGGCGACUCUCUGGACUGCAACUGACGCUGAGGCACGAAAGCGUGGGUAGCGAACA
rnacentral:rRNA from 1 species